CGCUGGCGGCAUGCUUCAUACAUGCAAGUCGAACGAUAAGGUCUCUUCGGAGAUACAUAAGUGGCGGACGGGUGAGUAAUAUGUAGGAAAUCUGCCCUUGAGAGGGGGACAACAGAGGGAAACUUCUGCUAAUACCCCAUAUGAGCGUACCUGAAAUGGUAUUCUUGAAAACUCCGGUGCUCAAGGAUGAGCCUGCAUCUGAUUAGCUUGUUGGCGGUGUAAUGGACCACCAAGGCGACGAUCAGUAGCUGGUUUGAGAGGAUGAUCAGCCACAAUGGGACUGAGACACGGCCCAUACUCCUACGGGAGGCAGCAGUAGGGAAUUUUGCGCAAUGGGCGAAAGCCUGAACCGCAGCAAUGCCGCGUGAACGUAGAAGCCCUUCGGGGUGUAAAGUUCUGUCAGUGGGGACGAAUUUUGACGGUACCCACAGAGGAAGCACCGGCUAACUCCGUGCCAGCCGCAGC
rnacentral:rRNA from 1 species